rnacentral:lncRNA from 1 species
CGAGGAGCAAUUGCAAAAUACAUAUGCAUGUUACUUAUCCACAUCUACUGGUCCAGUAAUGGGUGUUUUAUACAUCUCUUCUGCUAAGCUUGCAUUUUGUAGUGAUAAUCCUCUUUCAUAUAAAGCCGGUGACAAGACUGAAUGGAGCCAUUAUAAGGUACGUACUAUGUUCUCUCUAGAAAGGGCUUUUUACAUGUGUUUAUGUUCCUUUUCUUUCAUUGGGACAAGUAAUUUAUUUUUGAGCUAUGAAGUCUUCAUCCUGUCAUUUCAUGAUAUAGUAUACAUUAACAUACGAAAAUUUGCUAUGGGUUGCAAUUACUUGUAUCUUGAUUUGUUGAAUAUAGAUGCAACUGGCUUAAUUGUCCUCGAUCUAAACUUUAGAGAUUUGUGCUGACAAUAACGAGAAGAUUUUAUUCUUUGUCUUUUGUAUUUUAUACAAUUCUUUGCGUAAAAUUAGAACCAUUUUAAAAGAAAAAUCUAGCUAAAAUUACUAUUGGCGUGGGAGUGUAGUAAUUUGACAAAGAACAAGAAAAUGAAUAUAUGAAAGAAAAGAAAUUAGGGCCAAGAAGAAAUCAAUUUAUUCAUAUAUUCAAGGGUGCAUAUUACAAUGAAUAAGCACUCUAUAUAGUGCAACUGAUCCAAAAUCAAUAGAAUUUGUAAUAAACUAGCAUUUUGUCAAAAAUUAAAAAUAACCUAAUCUAAUUUAUCACCUGUUUGGCCCACAUUAUUCCACAUUAUAAUGAAUGGAAUAGUAAUUUUUUGGAAAAUGUGUGGUUGAAAAAGAAGUAAAAGUUUUUUGAUUUUACGUGAAAUAUUAUUUUAUUAGAAAAUAUGUUGUUGAUAAGAAUAGAGAAAAAUAAGUUAUAAUUAAAUGGGGAAUAAUGGGGGCCAAAUGGGGGCUUAAAAAACUAUAAUUUAAGUUAAACUCUUUUUUAAAAUCUUAUUGAAAUCAUAUCUUUACCCUAUCUCUAUCUUCAUCAUUUCUCUUUGACUGAGAGAACUCGAUUUUGACAAGGUAGACUAGAACUUCAUACUCUAAAGAAGACGAUCUUUUAUCUUGGCCAAUUGUUUGAAUUGAAUCCUUGACAUACCGAACUCAUACCAAGGAGACGAUCUUUUUUAUGAACCAAAAAAUAAAAAAAUAAAAAAAUCCAACAUAAAAAAUAGAAAUUGGUACCUCACAAAGCUAAAAUGAGCCAAACAGUGUCUAAGUAUCUAUUUAUAUUGAAUUAUCUUUAGUUAUUGAUUCAAUCAACAUGAACACAAUCGAUCCUGCAAACAUUAGCAAAAAAGGUUUUAACUUUUUUUGGAUGAAUGGUACUUGUGAACAAUAACGAUGAACAUUUGUUUCGAUAUAAAAAAAAAUGGAAAAACUCGAAUGGAACAUAAAUUUGUUGCCAAAACAUUUGUCUUGGAGUUUCCGGCUACAGGAUCUGGUUAGAGUUUUGAUUUGAUUAUGAUGAUUGUGAUGGGUUGUGGUUUUGUGAGUAGUGGGCUUGGGUGUGGGCUGUUGAGGUUUGGUUUAGUGUUGUGGUGCUGGAUUUGGUACUAGGCUUGUUUAUAUGGGUAGUUAGAAUUGGGUUAUGGCAUAGAUAGGCUUGGGUAGUGGAUCGGAUUGAUUUCUGGGCUGGCUUAUUUGGGGCUUUAUUGAACAAAUGGGCAGCAGCAAUUAUAAAAGCAGGGGACAAAAAGAAAUUGAUUUUGUUUUCCUGGAUUUUUUUGGAAACUAAACGUGAAAAGGAAAAAUUGGGAACAACUUUUACUACUGCCUGAUUGUUCUGCUCCUGGAUUCGUGUUUUAUGGUGGUUUGGUUAUUCGGUGUAUGGCUUGGAUAGAAACAGCUGGUUGUUUAAAGUUUGUGGAUUUGAAAUGAAAGAUGUUAGGCCAAAGGAGAACGACUUGUUCUAAUACCAAAUUGAAGCAUGGGCAUGGUAAUUUGACAAAGAACAAGAAAAUGAACUGGAAAAGAAAGAAAUCAAAGAAGAGAAGAAAAUAGCUCAAAGAAGAAAUCAAUUUAUUUAUAUAUGUGUGUAUUACAAUGAAUAAGCCCUCUAUAUAUAGAGCAAUUAAUCUAAAAUUAGUAGAAUUUAUAAUAAACUACAACUUUGUCAAAAUAUUAAAACUAACGUAAUCUAAUUUAAACAAAUAUAAUUAAAAUUAAACUCUAUUCUAAAAUCAUAUUUAAAAGGAAUUGAAUAACUUGUGACAAAUAUUAUUAUUAUUAUUAUUAUUAUUAUUAUUAUUAUUAUUAUUAUUAUUAUUAUUAUGUGCGCACUCGCAUAUAUCCAUCUCUAUCUCUUGCUGAAAGGCAAUAGAAAGUUAUACUACCAUCUUUGAGGAUGCUGUUGAUGCAAGCAUUGAAGUUUUGGGGCAAGUAAAUGUAAUAUUGUUGCGGUUGUGAUAGUAGAUUGAUUGUUGAUAUUCACUUAUCACUGUAAUUGUACCCAAAUUUUAUGAAUACCCAUUUCUCUUUGGUUUAUUUGCUCCAUGAAGGAAUCAGGAUCCAAGUUAAUGAUGUCAAGUCUCUCUCACGUUUUCAAAGUCAGAAAGGACUUUCAAUAGUUUAGACUUUAGAUGCAAAUACCUUCUGGAACAACCAUUCAUUUUGAAAUCUUUGCGUAUCUCACUUCUAAUUUUAGAUAUCUUGAAUCUCGAUUUGUCAUUUUAACUAAAUAGUAUGUAAAGCUAAUGUUUUGUGGCCCUAAAGUUAUGAUAAAUAUAGUAAAAUUUAAGAGAAAUAGUUCCAUUCAACUUCUUACCUUUCAAUUUCAUUACAUUGUAUUAAUUUUAUGCUUUUAGCUGAUCUCAAAUUCAUUGAGAUCAAGGAUAAGAGCUGUCUCUUAUACACAUUUNAUUAUUAUUAUUAUUAUUAUUAUUAUUAUUAUUAUUAUUGCAUAUGGAGAGAACGGAAUGAUCGAUGUUUCGAAGACCAAACAAAGACAACAGAGCAGAUAAGAGAAUUAUUUUACUUGACUUUGUAUACUUGGUUUAAUGCAGUGGCUAAAAAUCCUGUUGUAUGGUUGCCUAAUUUCUUGUUGUUCUUUUCAUGCUUAAAGUGAUUGUAUACCUCCCGCGUUCUCUCUUUUAAGGAAUAAAAUUCUAUGAUUACUUAUCAAAAAAAAUAAUUUAUUAUUAUUAUUAUUAUUAUUAUUAUUAUUAUGUAAUUGAUGUGCGCACUCGCAUAUAUCCAUCUCUAUCUCUUGCUGAAAGGCAAUAGAAAGUUAUACUACCAUCUUUGAGGAUGCUGUUGAUGCGAGCAUUGAAGUUUUGGGGCAAGUAAAUGUAAUAUUGUUGCGGUUGUGAUAGUAGAUUGAUUGUUGAUAUUCACUUAUCAGUGUAAUUGUACCCAAAUUUUAUGAAUACCCAUUUCUCUUUGGUUUAUUUGCUCCAUGAAGGAAUUAGGAUCCCAGUUAAUGAUGUCAAGUCUCUCUCUCACUUUUUCAAAGUCAGAAAGGACUUUCAAUAGUUUAGAUGCAAAUACCUUCUGGAACAACCAUUCAUUUUGAAAUCUUUGCGUAUCUCACUUCUAAUUUUAGAUAUCUGGAAUCUUGGUUUGUCAUUUUAACUGAAUAGUAUGCAAAGCUAAUGUUUUGUGGCCCUAGAGUUACGAUAAAUAUAGUAAAAUUUAAGAGAAAUAGUUCCAUUCAACUUCUUACCUUUCAAUUUCAUUACAUUGUAUUAAUUUUAUGCUUUUAGCUGAUCUCAAAUUCAUUGAGAUCAAGGAUAAGAGAAGGCCUACGAGAAGGAUAUGUACUCCCGGUUCAUAUCCAAAUGUGUUCUGAUGGAUAAGAUCCAUUCCUGACAAAGGAAAUGAAUAGAAAAGUCAAAUAACUAUGAAAAAUUAAUUAUUGUCUUGAAAAUUUGUGAUAAAAUGGUGGUGCUCCAUUAAAUUUCAGAAGGUUUUAAGUUUUAUAUAUAAAUAUUUUUGACUCGGCAAUUUAUGGUGACCUCUUAAACACCAAUUUCAAGGGAGCAACCAGCAUUUAAGUUGUCUUCUUUUCCAACUCGAUUCUUUUCUUGUUUCUUGUAUGAACUCUUUAGGGACAUUAGUGAGGUAGUUUGGUUAUCUACUUAUUUUGCUAUCUGUGUUGUAUGGACACUUCAACUGGGAUAGCAUGUGCGCAUCCGACUUGUGUCAGAUACGACACUCUUCUGAUAUUCUAUCAUGGUCAUUCUUUUUUCUUUAUUUGCAAUGUUAUAUUUAUAACUCAAAUUUAUUAAUAAAAAUNUACUCACAAUCAGAUCCUGAGCAUUAGGCUAAUUUAUAGAUAUUUGAGAACAUAGAAGUUUCUUUCACCAUUGACUCUUGACUUCUAACACCUGUAAUUGCCAAGCUGCCCGUUUUUCUUUUCUGGUACCAAUUAUUUAUAUCUUUUAUGAAUCAUGCAGUGUUUGCUGAUAUAUCUUUGUUACAAUUAUUAUGAACAGGUAGUUAUCCUAUUACAUCAACUCAAAGCCAUUAAUCCUUCAUCAAGCAGAACCUCAGCUGAAAAGUACAUCCAGUUUAUAUCUGUUGAUAACCUUGAAUUUUGGUAUAUGGGCUUCUUGAAUUAUGGUGGGGCGGUGAAGUGUCUGCAAGAUGCCUUGCAAGUGCGCAACUUGUCAUCCAUCUAAAGUUGAACCCAGGUUCAAGUUUUACUUUAGAUCAAAGGACGAGCUCCUUAAUUCAUAUUAUUAGAAGAUUUGAUGCUCUUGGAAAAAAAACAUAAAAACUGAGCACGACUUUUAGACAAUUGAAAUGCACAUUUGCCAUCUUUGAGAUAUCCUCUGGUUUUUCACAUUAAAGUUAUUACUAUUUUUUUGAAGACAUUUUGUGUGGGAGAGAGCAAGUUCCCCUCAUUGUACUAUGAUUAGCCAAUAGGGCUAAGUAGUUUAAAGUUUUAAUGACUAUUCUUUAUCGUCCUUUAGUAUUCCUUGCAUUUGCCAGUUUUCUGAGGAAGUUUGCUUUAUUUCUUUAAGCUUAUGGAGUUUAUGUCUAUGUUUUCACAAAUAUCAAAAUUUGAGGAAGUUUGCAAAAAUCAUGUCAUGAUUCACAAUGGUUAAAUAAUAAUUGCAAGGGCUAUUAUAUUUGGAUCAAAUGCCUAAACGCUAUUAGAGG